CCACUCCGACUCUUAUGCCCAAAUAUGUGAGCAUGAAAGCGGAAGAAAUGCCAGUUAAAACGACAUAGCCAUACUCUUUGGCAAGCACAAUGGUCGCCAUUUUGGAUUGUGACACCCACCAAGACGAGGCUACUCUUUGUCGGCGGUUUCCAACGCCUUUCACAGUCCUUUGCCGUCCAGCGAGAGCAGUUUACGCUUGUACAGUGAAAAUCUUGUUGAAUUACACCUUCAAAAUGAAGUUCGCCGUCUUCGCUGUUCUAUGCGUCUUCCUCAUCGCGGCCGCUCAGGCUCAAAACAACACCACCAUGUCAAGUAAUGUGACAUCGACAGCCGCCGCUCAAGUUAACAUGACUACAGCAGCAUCAACGACGGCCGCGCCAACCACUAGCAUGGCCAUUCAGUUCAUGCCGUCUUUCCUCAUGUCUCUCGUCCUUUGCGCCUUCGUCAAGUUGUUCUAAAUUGCUUUCUUUCCGCCCAUGGAGCUCUCCCUGUGACAAACUCUACCGAGAACGAAAAACUUAGCCUGCCUUUUCCCCACCAAGUAACAAGUGUUUGAUUUUCAAGAACGUGCCCGGCACAAUGAAAGACUUGAACCGGCUCGUCUACUACUCAACUCAAUCUCUCCUUGGGCGAACUAUUACAGAUGUACUAGUUAUCCGUGACUUUUUUACAAGAAUCUCUGGACCUGGUCAAGAUACCAACCCCUACUAAAUUGAUUUGCGACGAAGAAAACUUGUUCUGGCGGUUGCUUCAACAAUGCUGAAUGAAUUGAAAUGGCGUGGCUUUGAAAGUCGCGCCUGAACUUAUCACAAGCUUCUGUAAAAUCGAAGAACUCUUUCUCAAUCCAUCUGGAAAGAGAUAAGUAACUCUUACAGCAUUAAGACAGUUCGAGCAAGGCAUUUUCUCAUGAUGCAACUGUAAUUUUUCAGCCUUCUAGCUUUAGUCAUUAUGUAUAUUAGCUCGUUCACCUAUGUACAGCUUGUUAGCAUUUUCAUCCCGUCUAUUUAUAAGAAUUUCAGUUGUUAUUUUCUACUUGAGUAUUAAAGAGUGCUUUAAGCUUUAGUUUGACCUUGUAUUAUGAAUUAUAUGUCUAUAUUUCUAUUUAAAGGUCUUUUGCGUACAGAAGGAUGACGAACACCUAACCGUUGGGCGUUGUCUUUGCUAGUCGCUUAAAAGAUCGCCAAAUACUUCGCUCAUCUUCAAUGUUUGGACAUAGCGUAUGGAUUACGACGAUUGUAUAGCUGUCUGUCGCUUUUGAGAGGUGUUUACUUGGCAAAUAAAUGUCCGUCGUUGAAUAGCA